UAGCUGAGUCAGUAAAGAAUCUGCCUGCAAUGCAGAAGACCUGGGUUUGAUUCCUGG
rnacentral:tRNA from 1 species